GAGUUUGAUCCUGGCUCAGAUUGAACGCUGGCGGCAGGCUUAACAUAUGCAAGUCGAGCGGGGGAGAUUGCUUCGGUAAUUGACCUAGCGGCGAACGGGUGAGUAAUACUUAGGAAUCUGCCUAUUAAUGGGGGACAACAUCUCGAAAGGGAUGCUAAUACCGCAUACGCCCUACGGGGAAAGCAGGGGAUCACUUGUGACCUUGCGUUAAUAGAUGAGCCUAAGUCGGAUUAGCUAGUUGGUGGGGUAAAGGCCUACCAAGGCGACGAUCUGUAGCGGGUCUGAGAGGAUGAUCCGCCACACUGGGACUGAGACACGGCCCAGACUCCUACGGGAGGCAGCAGUGGGGAAUAUUGGACAAUGGGGGGAACCCUGAUCCAGCCAUGCCGCGUGUGUGAAGAAGGCCUUAUGGUUGUAAAGCACUUUAAGCGAGGAGGAGGCUCCUGUAGUUAAUACCUACAGAGAGUGGACGUUACUCGCGGAAUAAGCACCGGCUAACUCUGUGCCAGCCGCCGCCGUAAG
rnacentral:rRNA from 1 species